AUUGAACGCUGGCGGAAUGCUUUACACAUGCAAGUCGAACGGUGGAGGGGGCAACCCCUCGAGAGUGGCGAACGGGUGAGUAAUAUAUCGGAACGUGCCCAGUCGUGGGGGAUAACGUAGUGAAAAUUACGCUAAUACCGCAUACGAUCGAUGGAUGAAAGCGGGGGAUCGCAAGACCUCGCGCGAUUGGAGCGGCCGAUAUCAGAUUAGGUAGUUGGUGGGGUAAAGGCCCACCAAGCCAACGAUCUGUAGCUGGUCUGAGAGGACGACCAGCCACACUGGAACUGAGACACGGUCCAGACUCCUACGGGAGGCAGCAGUGGGGAAUUUUGGACAAUGGGCGAAAGCCUGAUCCAGCCAUUCCGCGUGCAGGAUGAAGGCCUUCGGGUUGUAAACUGCUUUUGUACAGAACGAAAAGGUUUCUACUAAUACUAGGAGCUCAUGACGGUACUGUAAGAAUAAGCACCGGCUAACUACGUGCCAGCAGCCGCCGUAA
rnacentral:rRNA from 1 species